UACGUAGGGGGCAAGCGUUGUCCGGAAUUAUUGGGCGUAAAGCGCGCGCAGGCGGUCAUUUAAGUCUGGUGUUUAAGCCCGGGGCUCAACCCCGGUUCGCAUCGGAAACUGGAUGACUUGAGUGUAGGAGAGGAAAGUGGAAUUCCACGUGUAGCGGUGAAAUGCGUAGAGAUGUGGAGGAACACCGAUGGCGAAGGCAGCCCCCUGGGCUGAGAUUGACGCUCAGGCACGAAAGCGUGGGGAGCAAACAGG
rnacentral:rRNA from 1 species